rnacentral:rRNA from 1 species
AUUGAACGCUGGCGGCAUGCUUUACACAUGCAAGUCGAACGGUAACAGGCCUUCGGGUGCUGACGAGUGGCGAACGGGUGAGUAAUGCAUCGGAACGUGCCCAGAGGUGGGGGAUAACGCAGCGAAAGCUGUGCUAAUACCGCAUGUGAUCUGAGGAUGAAAGCGGGGGACCAAGCAGCAAUGUUUGGCCUCGCGCCUCUGGAGCGGCCGAUGUCAGAUUAGGUAGUUGGUGGGGUAAAGGCCUACCAAGCCGACGAUCUGUAGCUGGUCUGAGAGGACGACCAGCCACACUGGGACUGAGACACGGCCCAGACUCCUACGGGAGGCAGCAGUGGGGAAUUUUGGACAAUGGGCGCAAGCCUGAUCCAGCAAUGCCGCGUGCGGGAAGAAGGCCUUCGGGUUGUAAAACGCUUUUGUAAGGAACGAAAAGGCUCUGGCUAAUACCUGGGGCUGAUGACGGUACCGUAAGAAUAAGCACCGGCUAACUACGUG